rnacentral:rRNA from 1 species
UACGUAGGAUGCGAGCGUUAUCCGGAUUUAUUGGGUUUAAAGGGUGCGUAGGCGGAGUGCCAAGUCAGCGGUAAAAAUUCGGGGCUCAACCCCGUCGUGCCGUUGAAACUGGCGCCCUUGAGUGGGCGAGAAGUAUGCGGAAUGCGUGGUGUAGCGGUGAAAUGCAUAGAUAUCACGCAGAACCCCGAUUGCGAAGGCAGCAUACCGGCGCCCUACUGACGCUGAGGCACGAAAGCGUGGGCAUCGAACAGG